rnacentral:rRNA from 1 species
GUGGGGAAUUUUGGACAAUGGGCGAAAGCCUGAUCCAGCCAUGCCGCGUGCAGGAUGAAGGCCUUCGGGUUGUAAACUGCUUUUGUACGGAACGAAAAGACUCCUUCUAAUAAAGGGGGUCCAUGACGGUACCGUAAGAAUAAGCACCGGCUAACUACGUGCCAGCAGCCGCGGUAAUACGUAGGGUGCAAGCGUUAAUCGGAAUUACUGGGCGUAAAGCGUGCGCAGGCGGUUAUAUAAGACAGAUGUGAAAUCCCCGGGCUCAACCUGGGAACUGCAUUUGGGACUGUAUAGCUAGAGUACGGUAGAGGGGGAUGGAAUUCCGCGUGUAGCAGUGAAAUGCGUAGAUAUGCGGAGGAACACCGAUGGCGAAGGCAAUCCCCUGGGCCUGCACUGACGCUCAUGCACGAAAGCGUGGGGAGCAAACAGGAUUAGAAACCCCAGUAGUCC